rnacentral:tRNA from 2 species
ACUUGUAUAGCUUAUACUUAGAGCUUGACAUUGAAGAUGUUAGGGAGGGCGGUUACCUUCAAGUA